ACCUCAGUGGUGCAGUGGUAGCCCGCGCCUCCGGUAUGGAUGAAGUGCGGGUUCGACUCCCGUCUAAGGUC